rnacentral:misc_RNA from 1 species
GCUCUGUCGAGAAUUCGAACAAAAUGAGGGCAUCUCAACAGGAAAGGAGGAGCGAAUUUCACGAGCCGUGCGGACGGACUCGUUCGGAUAUAAAAGCAGCGCGGGACACGGCUGCAACCACGCAUUCGCUCUUCCAGCUGCCAACUGCACUACACUGGAAACAUGAGGACUCUGGAGCUUGGAUCAUGAUGUGCUUCCCAUCGACAGCACCAAGGCAAUUCGGAAACUGCCAGCUCCUGCUGAAGCCCUCGGCAACCUGAAGCCACGCAUUUGUAUCUGGUUUCUGGAAAGAGACAGGAUACAAGAA